GACGAACGCUGGCGGCGUGCCUAAUACAUGCAAGUUGAGCGCUGAAGGUUGGUACUUGUACCGACUGGAUGAGCAGCGAACGGGUGAGUAACGCGUGGGGAAUCUGCCUUUGAGCGGGGGACAACAUUUGGAAACGAAUGCUAAUACCGCAUAAAAACUUUAAACACAAGUUUUAAGUUUGAAAGAUGCAAUUGCAUCACUCAAAGAUGAUCCCGCGUUGUAUUAGCUAGUUGGUGAGGUAAAGGCUCACCAAGGCGAUGAUACAUAGCCGACCUGAGAGGGUGAUCGGCCACAUUGGGACUGAAACACGGCCCAAACUCCUACGGGAGGCAGCAGUAGGGAAUCUUCGGCAAUGGACGAAAGUCUGACCGAGCAACGCCGCGUGAGUGAAGAAGGUUUUCGGAUCGUAAAACUCUGUUGGUAGAGAAGAACGUUGGUGAGAGUGGGAAGCUCAUCAAGUGACGGUAACUACCCAGAAAGGGACGGCUAACUACGUGCCAGCCGCCGCAGUAA
rnacentral:rRNA from 1 species